CAUUCCAGACUGGGGUCUUCUGGCCCCUAAUGCUGAGUGGGGGAGGGCGGAGAGAUAUGCAACCCCAUCAACUUCCCUCACACACACACACACACACACACACCCCGCCACAAUCCACUCAGGCAUUUGAUGCCUUCAAGAAGGGUCAGCAAUAAAUAGUGAGCUCGGGCGGUGGUGGCGGCAGUGCGGUGGGGGGGGCAUCAGCAAGGGAAGGGGGGCCCAAAGGUCUAGUUGAGGCUCCCUGAGACAAUCGGAGGAGGUAGGCAUGGCUGGCGCUGCUGUGCCUCCACAUGCUUCUGGGCAGCCUCCCACAGGUCCUGCAUGCAGGUCUUGAAAACCUCCACGGCAGGGCCCACAUGCUCACGGAGGCGCUACACAAAGGGAGGGGUCUUCUUCUCCCAAAAGGUGCUGAUGUGCUGCUGGAUCUUGGCCUUGAACUCGUCCAUGUUGGGGAUGCCCUUCUCCCGCAGUGCCUUCAGCUUCUCGUUCACCUGCUGGUGCAGCACGUCAUGAAUUGGGGGCCAUGUCUGUGCGAAGCUGCUCCACGGGGGCCCGCAAUUUGUCCUGCACGUCCUCGGCCACGGGGGCCACCUUCUGGUGCAGCCCCUCCAGGUUCUGUCGGACCGGCUCCUUGAGCUCCUGACUGAGGGGCUGCAUCCAGGUCUGGAUGGCCUCUGCCUCCUUCUGAACCCUCUCCCAGAACUGGUCGAGACCGAUGUCCUCCUUUCCCAAGACCUUCAUUCUCCCUGACAGCAGAGGAGCUAUCAAGCCCUGGAGUGGGAUGCCUCUACCACGUCUGAAGGUUUCAUCCGCAUGCUCUGUUUCUCUGACCUUCUCCAGAUCCUCCACCUUGGUCUCGAGGGAACGAACUUGUUUCCUGAGAGCCAGGAGCUCCUUGCAACAACCACACACCCAUGACUUCUGCCCAUGGAGCAAACUGUCUUACCUGUGACAUUCAGUGCAAUACAUUGGGAAGUGCCCCUUCCUCUGCUGACAUUCUAUCUUCAUAACUGGUCUUGUUGGCUGUUUACAGUAUUUAGAGAUAGUUUAUUAGAAGGACAGGUUUCAGCAGUAUUGGUGGGUUAUUUGACUGUCCAAGCUGUCUUUCUCAAGAAUACGAGGGAGGGACCAGUACUUAUAUGAGGAAGGGAUUUAUACUUACCUUCUCUUCUCCACCAGGCUCCUUGUGAUCACAGGAACUUGUUCCAGACUCCCCACACACACUUCUCACUAAACUCACACAAAACUCCAAUGCCCUGUUUGCUAUCCUUGUUGGCUAUGCUCUCGGGCCUUCACCUCUUAUGUAGAGUAGGCUACAAACUGAGAUGCAGGAUGUGGCUCAAAGGAAUGUGGGGCCUCCCACAGCCCUAGCUGACUCGACCCACUCCAGGCAGGGACAAACAAAAACUGGAUGCCACAGGAGUUUGCUAGCCCUGGCAAAUAACAAACAGACAGACUAGGACUUCUCCCUUAAACAGAAACCAUCCCCUCAAAAUCGCCCCUUCUCCUGUUUGUUAGUUUGAAGGGGGGGAAAGGCUUGAUGUUCUGUGUAGAAAAGCUUGCUUUCCCUGAAGCCUUUUCUUGAAGCUGCUUCUGCUCUUCCCAGAGUAGGCUUCAAACUGAAGUUUUGUUACUAUUUAGUUUUAAUAUUGCCUAGUUUUAAUUGUAAUUUUAAUCUGCUUUUAAUUGGUUCCAGAUUUUAAUUAUGUAUUUUUAAUAUUAAUGUAAACUGCCCUGAGCCACCUUUGGAAGGGUGGUAUAGAAAACAAACAAACAAACAAACAAACAAACAAAUUCAUUAUGCUCUUUCCUGCUCCCGCAUACUUACCUUUGGUCUUCUCUAACUUGUUUCAUUGCUGAGUGAAGUCAUGGGCCAUAAGCUGCCCUCUGCGAAGAGAGAGGCCCAAGCUUUUGGCUUCCACUCAGACCAUGUUGUCGUUCUGGUCCCCAAACGGGAGUCCCCACCACAAGUACUCCAUGGUAAACAGUUCUAUUAAACUGUUUAGCCCUCCAUGGGUGACAAGGAGGCGAGCCUUUGGAUGUCCUGGUCCAAGGGAGCGAAAAUUAUUUUUUCAUUUCAUUUCAUUUCAUUUCAAAAAGUGAGCUAAGCACUGCAGUCUGUCUGUACACUGAACUAUACUACCUUUUCUGAGAGGCCUUCGGCACAACCCUGUAGUUCCCGUAUCCUACCACAGAGGUUAGGAACACAGAAAGCUGCCUUAUACCAAGUUAGACCAUUGGUACAUCUAGCUCACUAUCGUCUGCACGGACUGGCAGUGGCUCUCCAAGGUUUCAGGCAGGCAGCCCUACCUGGAGAUGCCAGGGAGUGAACCUGGAACCAACUAUCCUAACGACCACUAAGGGCAUUGGGAGUAGAAGUAGCUAGUGAGGGUCUCCUUACCUGUCCCUGCUUGCCUCUACUCUAUUAACCCUACUCUGACUCCUCAGGUACUUCCUGUAGUGAGUCAGUCCUCUUCUUUUCCUCCUAGAGAGAAGAUGGAAACAUCUCUCUUUCCCUCCCUACCUGUUCAUGAUGUAGCUGAUAGAUAGGAUAGGUCUUUCCUAUCCCAAAUGUAUUUCACUAAUAAACCUAUUUAGUUUAGACUCUA